rnacentral:rRNA from 1 species
GACGAACGCUGGCGGCGUGCUUAACACAUGCAAGUCGAACGGAAAGGCCCUGCUUUUGUGGGGUGCUCGAGUGGCGAACGGGUGAGUAACACGUGAGUAACCUGCCCUUGACUUUGGGAUAACUUCAGGAAACUGGGGCUAAUACCGGAUAGGAGCUCCUGCUGCAUGGUGGGGGUUGGAAAGUUUCGGCGGUUGGGGAUGGACUCGCGGCUUAUCAGCUUGUUGGUGGGGUAGUGGCUUACCAAGGCUUUGACGGGUAGCCUGCCUGAGAGGGUGACCGGCCACAUUGGGACUGAGAUACGGACCAGACGCCUACGGGAGGCAGCAGUGGGGAAUAUUGCACAAUGGGCGGAAGCCUGAUGCAGCAACGCCGCGUGCGGGAUGACGGCCUUCGGGUUGUAAACCGCUGUCGCCUGUGACGAAGCGUGAGUGACGGUAAUGGGUAAAGAAGCACCGGCUAACUACGUG